GUUUUUUUUAUAGGGCUUCCUGAAUAGCACCGUGAGACCGUGAUGGAGGUGAAUAAAGCACGGCGGAGCACAGCCCAGGCAGAAUGCAGCGUGAUUCAGCGCAUCUGGCCUGGGGAGAGCAGCGCGCGGAGGGCUGUUAUUAUUUAAUUGACGCGGGGAGGCUGACCAUCUGUGAUGUUAUGCUGCCCGACAGAACUGCCUUUCAUGUGGCUACUGUCGAGAGCGGCGGCGCCCGGCCUUUCCAAUGGGCUCCGUCCAGCUCUGCCUCCGCCAUCCCCUCUACAGGGUGGACCCCCACCUCCCCUCUCAAGGAGGCACUUAUGAGAUAACCCUUUGACCCCUUAUCCUGUUUGUCAUUCUACUUAAUGACUCAUCCAGAAAGAAGAUGAAUACACGACUAUGACAACUAUUACGACAGCAGACUGUAUUGAAGAUGUCUCCAGUCAAUGUACAUCUACAUUACAUUUGCUCUCUUUGGCUGUGAUUUCCAGAACGAUUUAACGACGGGAUAGGAGCCAUCAUAAGGAAUUAGCUUCAAAUGUUUGCAGGAUGUCUUGGGGCUUUGAAUGAAGAUGUGUUAAUCUUGGUUUUUCCACACUUUUUAUCACAAAUAUCCUAUCUGAACCAAUACAUUUUGAAUGUUGGAAUAAUAGGGUGGUAUCAUAGGAUCUGACUUGAUUUAAAGAGUGAAUCAUUAUCGGAAAUUCCUAGUCUUUUCUCUACUCUAGGCUAUCCCAUAAGGACAUGUGAAAAAGCACUGACAAAUGACUGCUUGUGCAAAUCCAAUUUAUGAUGCCACUACAGGGUAGUGUAUUGUCUCCAUGUGUGUAAUGCCUCAUCCCACUGCAAUAAAAAUGAAACAAAAGUCAACGCUUUUCCCAAAAGGGUGAUCCGUG
ensembl:lncRNA